UACGUAGGGUGCGAGCGUUGUCCGGAAUUAUUGGGCGUAAAGAGCUCGUAGGCGGUUUGUCGCGUCUGCUGUGAAAACUCGGGGCUUAACUCCGGGCCUGCAGUGGGUACGGGCAGACUAGAGUUCGGUAGGGGAGACUGGAAUUCCUGGUGUAGCGGUGAAAUGCGCAGAUAUCGGGAGGAACACCAGUAGCGAAGGCGGCACUCUGGGCCGGUACUGACGCUGAGGAGCGAAAGCGUGGGGAGCAAACAGG
rnacentral:rRNA from 1 species